UACGUAGGGUGCGAGCGUUGUCCGGAAUUACUGGGCGUAAAGAGCUCGUAGGUGGUUUGUCGCGUUGUUCGUGAAAACUCACAACUCAAUUGUGGGCGUGCGGGCGAUACGGGCAGACUGGAGUACUGCAGGGGAGACUGGAAUUCCUGGUGUAGCGGUGGAAUGCGCAGAUAUCAGGAGGAACACCGGUGGCGAAGGCGGGUCUCUGGGCAGUAACUGACGCUGAGGAGCGAAAGCGUAGGGAGCAAACGGG
rnacentral:rRNA from 1 species